rnacentral:RNase_P_RNA from 1 species
GCAGACGGGCCGACGAUCGCUUCACGCCGGGAGCGUGAAGAGGAAAGUCCGGGCAACACAGAGCAGCAUGCUUUCUAACGGAAAGUCGGGGGUGACCCCGAGGACAAUGUGACAGAAAACGACCGCCCUCUCCGCUUAGCGCCGGUGAGGCACAGGAGCGGGCGCGGGUAAGGGUGAAAAGGCGGGGUAAGAGCCCACCGGCUUCCGGGGCGACCCGGAAGGCCGCACAUCCCAUGCGUUGCAAGGUCAAGUAUACCGGCUGUCAAGGAUUGCUCGUCCAUUGCCGGGGGGUAGGCCGCUAAAGUCGACGGGCAACCGCCUGACUCAGAUAAAUGAUCGUCAGCAUUUCGGGAAUGUGUAAUUCCCUUAUGCUACAUAACCCGGCUUAUAACCCUUCUGCUGCU